CACUGCCACCUUUGCCCAAAACGCACCCAUGGUUUGGCCACCAUUUUCCUCUUCCUCAAUUUCCACCAAAGGUUUAUCCAUCAUUCCCAUUUCCACCAAACACACCAUCACCUACUCCUGUUUAUGACCCACCAGUUGUUGAGACUCCCCCUGUUCCAGUAUACAAUCCUCCUCCGGUUGUUGAGACUCCCCCUGUUCCAGUAUACAAUCCUCCUCCGGUUGUUGAGACUCCCCCUGUUCCAGUAUACAAUCCUCCUCCGGUUGUUGAGACUCCCCCUGUUCCAGUAUACAAUCCUCCUCCGGUUGUUGAACCACCACCAGUUUACAAUCCUCCUCCGGUUUACAAUCCUCCUCCUGUUUACACACCAACACCAAAGCCAGAACCACCAGUAGUCAAGCCUCCUUGUGACCCAAAACCAAAGCCACAGCCACCUGUCUACAAACCUGCUCCCAUUCCGGUUUAUAAGCCAAAGCCAAAGCCGCCAGUCUACAAGCCUGCUCCCGUCCCAGUUUACAAGCCAAAGCCAAAUCCAGAGCCUCCAGUCUACAAGCCUGCUCCCAUUCCGGUUUAUAAGCCAAAGCCAAAGCCACCAGUCUACAAGCCUUCUCCCAUCCCAGUUUACAAACCAAAGCCAAAUCCAGAGCCUCCGGUUUACAAGCCUGCUCCCAUUCCAGUUUAUAAGCCAAAACCAAAACCGCCUGUUUAUAAGCCUGCUCCCGUUCCAGUUUACAAACCAAAGCCAAAGCCACCCGUUUACAAGCCUGCUCCAGUUCCGGUUUACAAGCCAAAGCCAAAGCCGCCAGUCUACAAACCGGCUCCGGUUCCAGUUUACAAGCCAAAACCAGAGCCACCGGUUUACAAGCCAGCUCCGGUUCCGGUUCCAGUUUACAAACCAAAGCCAAAGCCGCCAGUCUACAAACCUUCCCCUGUUCCAGUUUAUAAGCCAAAGCCUGAGCCACCGGUCUACAAACCUGCCCCUGUUCCAGUUUACAAGCCAAAGCCAGAGCCACCGGUUGUCAAGCCUCCUUGUGACCCAAAACCAAAACCAGAGCCACCUGUCUACAAGCCUGCUCCCGUUCCUAUUUACAAACCUAAGCCAGAGCCGCCAGUCUACAAGCCUUCUCCAGUUCCAGUUUACAAACCGGAGCCAAAACCGCCUGUUUAUAAUCCUUCUCCUGUUCCAGAUUACAAUCCAACACCAAAAUCAC
rnacentral:lncRNA from 1 species